rnacentral:rRNA from 1 species
UGAGGAAUAUUGGUCAAUGGGCGAGAGCCUGAACCAGCCAAAUCGCGUGAAGGAAGACUGCCUUAUGGGUUGUAAACUUCUUUUAUACAGGAAUAAAAAGGGGACGUGUCCCUUAUUGCAUGUACUGUAUGAAUAAGCAUCGGCUAACUCCGUGCCAGCAGCCGCGGUAAUACGGAGGAUGCGAGCGUUAUCCGGAUUUAUUGGGUUUAAAGGGUGCGCAGGCGGGCUUUUAAGUCAGCGGUGAAAUCUCGGGGCUUAACUCCGAAACUGCCGUUGAAACUGGGAGUCUUGAGUAUGGAUGAAGUAGGCGGAAUUCGUUGUGUAGCGGUGACAUGCUUAGAUAUAACGAGGAACUCCGAUUGCGUAGGCAGCUUACUAAGCCAUAACUGACGCUCAAGCACGAAAGCGUGGGGAUCAAAACAGGAUUAGAUACCCCUGGUAGUCCACGCCGUAAAACGAUGAUUACUAGUUGUAUGCGAUAUACCGUAUGUGACUAAGCGAAAAGCGAUAAAGUAAUCCACCUGGGGAGUACGCCGGCAACGGUGAAACUCAAAGGAAUUGACGGGGUCAUAGCUGUUUCCUG